rnacentral:lncRNA from 1 species
GUAACACCUGGUCUCCACACUCCAGUUCCCCACGGGGCAAUGCAAGGAGGGCCAGAUGUUUACCUGCUUGCACAGCGAGGUUCGUGAAACUCAAGGAAGAACGGCGGAAGCACUGUGAACAGUAUGAAAACGGUAGAAAUCAAAUGCAGGUGAUUAUCACUGACACUUUACCACAAAACUCUAGUGACAAUGUGCAGAACAUGUAGAGAACAGUAUCUGGCACACAGGAGGUGCUCUACAAAUAUCGCUUCUCCUUCUGCCACCCGCUGAACAAGUUCUGAAUGCUCGCCAGCCACAAGGAAAUCCAGCCCUUCCCAGAGUCUCCCCAGGAGUCUGGAAUUCUUCAGGUUUGUCAUGGGGGCUCAGAACAAGUGCAAUCUUCUCCUCAAUGUCUCCACCCCUACUGGCUCUGUCACUAAUGCUUUCCAUGAGGAUGUCCAUGUUUGACCCAAGAGUGCUGGGUGCUAUGCCGAAUUGGGGAGAAUGACCCUCUGCCCACUGUGCUGUACUGGGUCACAGCUUGUGCCUGGAGUUCCACAGAGGCCCUGUGGAAAUGGCUCCUUUACCUUUAGCUCUACUACU